GUAAAGAUGAAAAGGACUUUG
rnacentral:snRNA from 1 species